rnacentral:rRNA from 1 species
AUUGAACGCUGGCGGAAUGCUUUACACAUGCAAGUCGAACGGCAGCACGGACUUCGGUCUGGUGGCGAGUGGCGAACGGGCGAGUAACACGUGGGUGAUAUGCCCUGCACUUCGGGAUAAGCCUGGGAAACUGGGUCUAAUACCGGAUAGGACCACUGCCUGCAUGGGUGGUGGUGGAAAGCUUUUGCGGUGUGGGAUGGGCCCGCGGCCUAUCAGCUUGUUGGUGGGGUGAUGGCCUCCCAAGGCGACGACGGGUAGCCGGCCGGAGAGGGUGACCGGCCACACUGGGACUGAUAUACGGCCCAGACUCCUACGGGAGGCAGCAGUGGGGAAUAUUGCACAAUGGGCGCAAGCCUGAUGCAGCGACGCCGCGUGAGGGAUGACGGCCUUCGGGUUGUAAACCUCUUUCAGCACCGACGAAGCGCAAGUGACGGUAGGUGCAGAAGAAGGACCGGCCAACUACGUGCCAGCAGCCGCCGUAA